rnacentral:tRNA from 1 species
GUAUUUCCUCGCGCUCGGUAGCGGGCACGCCGCAUUCGAAGCGGCGGGGCUCAACCAAGGACUCGCGCGCGCGUUCGACUUCGCGCAGAAGCACG